UGUUAUUUUAUUCUUGUUUUAUUAGAUGUCCUGACUAGAGCCGCUCAUCUGCUUAAUUACAAAAAUGGGUGGUCUCAAGAUGGACUAAAGAAAACCACUGACUUUUGACUUUCCUGUUGGAUGAACUUGACUAUCUUUCUGGUUAUUUCAUCUUGGAUGCAAUUGUCACAACCUCCCAUCUAAAUAAUUCAACUCAUUGACGUUGAAAUUUUAUAUUAUUUACAGUAAUUGGUCACGUCCUGGAAAUUCAACUUUAAACGCUUCAUGUUAAAACUCCAUAGAGCUGUUACCUCAAUAAAUUGUAGGCAAUCUACAAUGCCAUAUGACGUUCAAAUGGUGUCAAAAACUUAUGUCGUGAUAAAUUGAAUAUUACCAACAAUAAAAGAAAAAUGCGUUUUUUUUUUUUCAUAAAUACGUUUAUUUCUUAAGGCAGUUUACAUAAGUUUUUCUUCGCCGUAGCAUCACUUUUGCAUAAUAUUCUUAUCCUAAUUUAAUUCUAACAUAGUCACAACGUUUUGCAUUUAUUAAAACAUAUUCUCUUAUUACUUAAAUAUCAUCUUAGGUAACUCGUCAUUAAUUAUGAAAUCUACUCGGAAAUAUUAUU